UACGGAGGAUGCGAGUGUUAUCCGGAAUCACUGGGCGUAAAGCGUCUGUAGGUUGUUUGCUAAGUCUGCUGUUAAAAGCUUGAAGCUCAACUUCAAAAAUGCAGCGGAAACUAGUAGACUUUGAGUGUUGGUAGGGGGUAGAGGGGAAUUUCCAGUGAAGUGGUGAAAUGCGUAGAUAUUGGAAAGACCACCAACGGCGAAAGGCACUCUAC
rnacentral:rRNA from 1 species